UACGGGGGGGCAAGCGUUGUUCGGAAUUACUGGGCGUAAAGGGCUCGUAGGCGGCCAACUAAGUCAGACGUGAAAUCCCUCGGCUUAACCGGGGAACUGCGUCUGAUACUGGAUGGCUCGAGUUUGGGAGAGGGAUGCGGAAUUCCAGGUGUAGCGGUGAAAUGCGUAGAUAUCUGGAGGAACACCGGUGGCGAAGGCGGCAUCCUGGACCAACACUGACGCUGAGGAGCGAAAGCCAGGGGAGCAAACGGG
rnacentral:rRNA from 1 species